rnacentral:tRNA from 1 species
AUACUAUUAGUAUAGAUGAUAUUACAUUUCCCUUCCAAGGAAAAGAUCUAUUUUUAUUAGAUGGUAUA